UCCAGGCUCCUACGGGAGGCAGCAGUGGGGAAUAUUGGGCAAUGGGCGCAAGCCUGACCCAGCAACGCCGCGUGAAGGAAGAAGGCUUUCGGGUUGUAAACUUCUUUUGACAGGGAAGAGCAGAAGACGGUACCUGUCGAAUAAGCCACGGCUAACUACGUGCCAGCAGCCGCGGUAAUACGUAGGUGGCAAGCGUUGUCCGGAUUUACUGGGUGUAAAGGGCGUGUAGCCGGGCUGACAAGUCAGAUGUGAAAUCCGAGGGCUCAACCCCCGAACUGCAUUUGAAACUGUUGGUCUUGAGUAUCGGAGAGGCAGGCGGAAUUCCUAGUGUAGCGGUGAAAUGCGUAGAUAUUAGGAGGAACACCAGUGGCGAAGGCGGUCUGCUGGACAGCAACUGACGCUGAGGCGCGAAAGCGUGGGGAGCAAACAGGAUUAGAUACCCCCGUAUA
rnacentral:rRNA from 1 species